UCGGCGCGCCGUUUGCCGUCACCGGGCGGUAGAUCCGAAACCGCCCGUGCCGGUCGGCUUCCCGAAGGUAUCCGACCAGUCGUUCGCGGGCGGCGCCCAUCACCUUCUCCUCCACCCACCCGCGGGCGCGCUCCGAGUUGAUGACCACGAUUUCCGGCCCGUCCGGCUCGUACAGACGCGCCGCGAGCGCCUCGCCGAUGCAGCGCGCGGCAAAAUAUUGGCCCUCUAUAUAGAUCGCACGCCGCGCAGCGGCGAUCGUCGCCAGAUGCAGCGCCUCGAUCUCCCGCA
rnacentral:misc_RNA from 1 species